UAGACGAUCUUGCCUGAAUGCUGCGCCA
rnacentral:piRNA from 1 species